rnacentral:rRNA from 1 species
CACGUAGGGCGCAAGCGUUGUCCGGAAUUAUUGGGCGUAAAGAGCUCGUAGGCGGACUGUCACGUCUGCUGUGAAAAGCUGGGGCUUAACCCUGGCCUUGCAGUGGAUACGGGCAGACUAGAGUGCGGUAGGGGAGACUGGAAUUCCUGGUGUAGCGGUGAAAUGCGCAGAUAUCAGGAGGAACACCGGUGGCGAAGGCGGGUCUCUGGGCCGUAACUGACGCUGAGGAGCGAAAGCGUGGGGAGCGAACAGG